rnacentral:rRNA from 1 species
CGGAACGGGUGAGUAAUAUAUCGGAACGUGCCCAGUAUGGGGGAGUAACUGCUCGAAAGAGCAGCUAAUACCGCAUACGACCUGAGGGUGAAAGGGGGGGAGUCGCAAGACCUCUCGCUAUUGGAGCGGCCGAUAUCAGAUUAGCUAGUUGGUGGGGUAAAGGCCUACCAAGGCAACGAUCUGUAGUUGGUCUGAGAGGACGACCAGCCACACUGGGACUGAGACACGGCCCAG